GACGAACGCUGGCGGCGUGCUUAACACAUGCAAGUCGAACGGGAUUUAGUAAACAGAAACCUCGGUGGAAGAUUACUAAUGAGAGUGGCGAACGGGUGAGUAACGCGUGAGCAACCUGCCUAUGACAGUGGGAUAGCCUCGGGAAACCGGGAUUAAUACCGCAUAAAAUCGUAGAAACACAUGUUUUAACGGUCAAAGAUUUAUCGGUCAUAGAUGGGCUCGCGUCUGAUUAGCUAGUUGGGGAGAUAACAGCCCACCAAGGCGACGAUCAGUAGCCGGUCUGAGAGGAUGAACGGCCACAUUGGAACUGAGACACGGUCCGAACUCCUACGGAAGGCAGCAGUGGGGAAUAUUGCACAAUGGGGGAAACCCUGAUGCAGCGACGCCGCGUGAACGAAGAAGGUAUUCGUAUCGUAAAGUUCUGUCCUAUGGGAAGAUAAUGACAGUACCAUAGAAGAAAGCUCCGGCUAAAUACGUG
rnacentral:rRNA from 1 species